rnacentral:rRNA from 1 species
GACGUAGGUGGCGAGCGUUGUUCGGAAUCACUGGGCAUAAAGCGCGCGUAGGCGGCUAGGUAAGUCGGAUGUGAAAUACCUCGGCUCAACCGAGGAACUGCGUCCGAUACUGCCUGGCUUGAGGUCCGGAGGGGAGAGUGGAAUUCCCGGUGGAGCGGUGAAAUGCGUAGAGAUCGGGAAGAACGCCGGCGGCGAAAGCGACUCUCUGGUCGGAAUCUGACGCUGAGGCGCGAAAGCUAGGGGAGCAAACGGG